AGCAGCCCCAGUUGCUGUAGAAAAGAUUGGAAUUAAGCUUUUUUAUUUGUCUUACAUGGUUUACUCUGACAAGAUUUUCUGCAUAUAAGCUUCUUUGUUCAGCUGAGAACUGGAUACAUUGCCAAAGCAUUGUAAAAUUUACAUCUUGCUUUUUCUCCUGUAUUCUUUCCAAAAAUUGGAUUGAAAGACAAAGUAUAGUUUUUAAUUAGAGCGCUGUCAAUGGACAUUUUUGCCCCUGAGCACGGCAUUUCUGAUCAGUGGGGAGGUUUUAUAAGAAGCCUACUAGGAGAUAUUCACUAAUUUCCUAUAAUCUGCCUUCAAUAGUGUAAGCAUCAGCUAAAAUCUGGGGUACUCCUGACAAUAUUCAUUUAAAGAUCAUCAUCACCAAGUUUAUCUGAUCAUGGUCAACAUGAAUCUGAGGCAAAUGGACUUUUCCUUUUAUCAACUCACAAUCCAGAGUGAAGCCCCUGCUGACUUCAACAGACUAUACGUGGGAGAACUUCCUUCUUUCCCCCAAAAAUUUCAGGAGAAAAUGAAUGAUCCUUGGAAAAUACAAACUGAAAUGUUAGAUGCUAUGUGUUAUGUAUUCUCCAGUGGUUUUGCUGACCAUUCUAAGGAAACAAAAAGGUUAAUUUCAUGGCUAAGUAUUGCCCCAACAAACUUUGAAAAAUGUCACCACCAAGAGCAUCACUUUUCCCUGCCUGAUAUCCUUUAUGCCUUAAUUUGAAAGUCAAAUGAGCAUUCCUAGGCAAAAGAAAUAAGAGCUAGGGUGUGCCGGUGGGUUUAUUUUUAAUUGGAAAAACAACUCCUGUUUCUUAAAAGUCAGGUAAUGAUUUCAGGGUGUUUCUAGGCAGGACCUGAAUAAAAUAUUAGACAAUCAUUCUUGAAAGCUAUUA
rnacentral:lncRNA from 1 species